rnacentral:rRNA from 1 species
AACGAACGCUGGCGGCAUGCCUAACACAUGCAAGUCGAACGAGACCUUCGGGUCUAGUGGCGCACGGGUGCGUAACGCGUGGGAACCUGCCCUUAGGUUCGGAAUAACUCCCCGAAAGGGGUGCUAAUACCGGAUAAUGUCUUCGGACCAAAGAUUUAUCGCCUUUGGAUGGGCCCGCGUUGGAUUAGCUAGUUGGUAGGGUAAAAGCCUACCAAGGCGACGAUCCAUAGCUGGUCUGAGAGGAUGAUCAGCCACACUGGGACUGAGACACGGCCCAGACUCCUACGGGAGGCAGCAGUGGGGAAUAUUGGACAAGGGGCGAAAGCCUGAUCCAGCAAUGCCGCGUGAGGGAUGAAGGCCUUAGGGUUGUAAAGCUCUUUUACCCGGGAUGAUAAUGACAGUACCGGGAGAAUAGGCUCCGGCUAACUCCG